GGCAUGGCUGUUAUGUUUGAGUGCAGCCACGUCGGCAGAGAUGUCGGAGUCAGUGACAGUACCCCCCACUCGAAGACCUCCCACCGGGUGAGCAGGACCAGGCUUGAGAGGAAACUUGUUGCAGAAAUAGUGAAUUUAUGGAUAUCAGUAGCCGGAACCCAAGAACAAUCGGCAGACCCAUACCCCUUGCAAUCAACUAAGUACUGCAAAGAUAAG